rnacentral:rRNA from 1 species
UUUCAACUUGAGAGUUUGAUCCUGGCUCAGAACGAACGCUGGCGGCAGGCUUAACACAUGCAAGUCGAGCGCCCCGCAAGGGGAGCGGCAGACGGGUGAGUAACGCGUGGGAACGUACCAUUGCUACGGAAUAACUCAGGGAAACUUGUGCUAAUACCGUAUGUGCUCGGGAAGAUUUAUCGGCAAAUGAUCGGCCCGCGUUGGAUUAGCUAGUUGGUGGGGUAAAGGCUCACCAAGGCGACGAUCCAUAGCUGGUCUGAGAGGAUGAUCAGCACACUGGGACUGAGACACGGCCCAGACUCUACGGGAGGCAGCAGUGGGGAAUAKUGGACAAUGGGCGCAAGCCUGAUCCAGCCAUGCCGCGUGAGUGAUGAAGGCCCUAGGGUUGUAAAGCU